rnacentral:rRNA from 1 species
UACAGAGGUCUCAAGCGUUUGUUCGGAUUCAUUGGGCGUAAAGGGUGCGUAGGCGGCGCGGUAAGUCGGGUGUGAAAUCUCGGGGCUUAACUCCGAAACUGCAUUCGAUACUGCCGUGCUUGAGGACUGGAGAGGAGACUGGAAUUUACGGUGUAGCGGUGAAAUGCGUAGAUAUAUAAGGAAGACCAGUGGCGAAGGCGG